GCUAGCGUUGUUCGGAAAUACUGGGCGUAAAGCGCACGUAGGCGGGUUUUUAAGUCAGGGGUGAAAUCCUGGAGCUCAACUCCAGAACUGCCUUUGAUACUGGCAAUCUAGAGACUGGAAGAGGUUAGUGGAAUUCCCAGUGUAGAGGUGAAAUUCGUAGAUAUUGGGAAGAACACCAGUGGCGAAGGCGGCUAACUGGUCCAGCACUGACGCUGAGGUGCGAAAGCGUGGGGAGCAAACAGG
rnacentral:rRNA from 1 species